GCUGGGCACAGUGGCACGUGCCUAUAGUCCCAGCUACUUGGGAGGCUGAGGUGGGAAGCUCAAUUGAGCUCAGGAGUUCUGGGCUAUGGUGUGCUAUGCUGAUUGAGUGUCCGCACUAAGUUCAGCAUCAAUAUGGUGACUUCCCAGGACAAGGGAUCACCAGGUUGCCUCAGGAGGGGUGAAGGGGCCCAGGUUAGAAAUGGAGCAGGUCAAAAGUCCUGUGCUGUUUGAAACUGACCAUGCAGGGGAGAAAGGGGCUCUGAGAAAGAUUUGGAGAAACUCAUUUCAU
ensembl:misc_RNA Metazoa_SRP Metazoan signal recognition particle RNA